UAGGUAAUCUACCUUUGGAUGGGGAAUAACAAUCGGAAACGGUUGCUAAUACCGCAUAAUGCAGCGGCACCUAAUGGUGACAGUUGUUAAAGCGGGGGAUCGAAAGACCUCGCGUCUAAAGAGGAGCCUGCGGCGGAUUAGCUUGUUGGUAGGGUAACGGCCUACCAAGGCGACGAUCCGUAGCCGGCCUGAGAGGGCGGUCGGCCACACUGACACUGACAUACGGGUCAG
rnacentral:rRNA from 1 species